CUCAUACUCCCUUCGUUCUGAAUUACUUGUCGUAGAAAUGGAUGUGUCUAGAACUAAAAAUACGUCUAGAUACAUCCAUUUCUGCGACAAGUAAUUUGGGACGGAGGGAGUACAAU
rnacentral:pre_miRNA from 1 species